UGUGUUUCACCCAAAAUUUUUGCUUAUUUGUUUAUAUUUUGGGGGGAAGUUACCUAGAUUUAAUAAAAUGUUACUAAGGGUUUUUUUUAUUAGCUCAGACUUGCAUACAUAAAAAGUUUGUUGUUUCUAUGUUCAGUAUAACUUAAGAUGUUCUCACUGCAGUUUCAACAGAAACAUCCACUCAAAAAGAUUAGCAAAUAGACACAUGUGAGUAAAGUUUAGUGCACAAUUAAAACUUGUACCUGACAAAAAAAAAAAAAAAGUAUUAAUUAAGCAUCCCCCAGAACAGCUGUUUCUAGUGUUUACACUUCAAUGGCUCAUCCUACAGAUCCACAUACAGGCACAUGGUUUAUAGUGCUGGUUUCCACUGGUGUUGCUGUAUUCUUGUCUGGACUCACGGGACUCAUCUGUCUGUGCUGGUUUGCAAGUCAAAAAAGAAGAAAAAUAUUAAUAAAAACAGAAGUGCCCAGUCAAGGAAUUGCUAUGAGUUGUUCUGAACCUGCAGAGAUAUAUUCUCUAAUCACUUCUGUACCAGAAACAACUCAGCCCAUAUCUGGAGACCUCGAACACCCAGAAUCACAUCAGGACAGCACAGCAGAUCCCACAGACACUCAAUCUUUCAUUAUGUCUGUUAAUUCAAUUUACCAGCCAUCAGGUAAUGAAUGUUUCUCUAAUUAA
rnacentral:lncRNA from 1 species